CGUAUCCAAAAAUUACUGAAGGGUUUAAAGUUGGGUUAUUAAUUAAUCUUACAUCUCCACCUCCUGGUGCCCAUGUAUCAUAAACACCACCAAAGAAAAGAGCUUUGAUAACUAAUAGAAAAGAUCCUAUGCCGAGAAGUAAUAAAUGAAUGCCCAGUAUAGUUGUCAUCUUAUUUUUAUCUCUCCA
rnacentral:antisense_RNA from 12 species